UAGUUUCUGUGUUGCAUGUGCUUUCAUUAGUCUCUGAGCCUAUGCUUAAAAAAAAAUAGGAGCAGAAGUCGUACUGAUGUUGAGCAUUCUCCAGAGUUUGAGAAAGCCUGAUUCAGUCGGGGACGUUCCAAUCUUGAACUUUCGGUUCGAGGUAAAUGUAUAGCACGGCAACAUGGAUCCUUA
rnacentral:other from 1 species